AUUACAAGCAUAUAAUAUUAAUUGGCAAAACACUGAAUACAAGCUUCACUAUCAUAAAAUCAAAACAUUGAAGCAAUAUUCCAAAAAAGAUUUUAGACAAAAACUAGCCACCGAGUACAAAAAUUACACACCAACAUAAAGCAUAAAAAAUGUAAACUUUCAAAUUAAACAGUCAAAAAUAUGUAUCUGCAUUGUCAUCUUCAUAAACUGCGACAGCUUCCACGUUGCCACGCAUGGUGGGCCGGCUCAGCACCACCUCACCCUGAACCCACAUCCUUUGGGAAAAUGGUUUUCUUACACCCAAUUAUGUUGCUGGAUAGACAUUUACACUAAUGCUACACACGCUGGGGGCACCCACACUGCAGUCCAUCCUCAGACGUGCUCGCGGACGCGGUAAGUUACACACGACACCCUGGCCCGGGCUGGCCAUGCACUGCCCGUCCGGCAGGGACGGGAUCUUCGUAAAGACUACGCUGUAGUUUGAUAUUUACUGAGUGUGUUUAAAUACCAAGGCAGAGAAACACACUGGUUUAUCACGCUAAGGUCACGUGUGAUGUGGUGGAGUGUAAAUGAUUUCCUGAGGAAACAGAGAAACUGGGUUUUUUGUGAUUUUGCUAUCGGCACUAAAUUUAUUUUCAAUAUUUGGAGAGCACAUUGAAUAUUCACGCACAACGUAGACAUCAGCUGGCUCGUUCCUAUCCAAUGACACAUUUCAAAUCACUGUAAAACACUAUCCUGUGCACUUUGAGAAAAGAACCAAACGAAUUUCUAAGACUUGGAAUGCCACGAGGAGGCAUCGGAGGCCGAGCCUGGAGGCUCAGGAGCCCCGGGGAAGUAGCACCGUCACGUGUGGGGUCCUACGGGGGUGGUGCAUCCAGGGCCGUGAGCAGGCGGGUCGAGGGCACAAACCCCGGGCAGCCAUGAGGCUGGCCUACGAUGGCGCCACACAUCACUUCACGGCUGCCUGCCCCGUCACUUAUAUUUAAAUAUUGCUGACAGGUAUUCUUGCACAGGCACACGCACAAUCCUGAUAACUGUGUUCUUAUAAUAGCAACAAUGAAAAAGGAAAAACCAAAUAGCUGAAUGUAUAUAUUUUGAAGUUCCACCUACAUUCCCUUUCAAUUUAGCAGAAUAGAUGCUACAUUGCAAUUUAAACAUCUAAUAAACGCAUAUUGGAACCUAUUGCACAAAAGCAUAAACAAUGCUCUUCAUCCAUAUAAAACAAAAACAUACAAAUUAAAAGCUACUCAAAGUAAAAAGAAGAAGCUUGCAAAACAUCUCACAAUUUCAUUUUAUAUGCCUGUAAAUAAAGCUGGACCACUGAAACCAAACGAUUGGAUGGGAAAAUACGAUAGAAGGCUUAAAAUAGAAUAAAUAAUUUUAUAAAGUUUUUUUUAACCCCCCAAAUCUUAAAUUUAAUAUUAUAUAUUCUAUCUGAAUUUUCUAUUUCCAUGAAAACGGUGUCUAGCGAGGGUCCCACCGGUGCUGACAGCGAUGUGGGGCGGGAGCUGAACAGCACGAGCCUCCCCAGCACAGCAGCUGCGAAACUCCACAGCAACUCCACUGCUAAAACCUUCAGAGGGUCCAAUCAGUAACUGAUCCUGGCUUUCAUGCUGGAAAAAAUAAAAUUCAGGCUUUUGAUGUUAAAUGAAAGCAUGACAAAAUGAAGGAGACCCCUGAAGCUUCCCGACGGCAGGGUUCACCAGGCUGCAGUCUUCAUAAGGCCGCGUCAGACCAAAGCGGCCGGAGGCCACCAGGGAUCGCCCUGUAGUGAAGGCGGUCUGCAGGAGGACAUCUUAGAAAAAUAGGUACUUUUGCUGCUGAGGUUUCAUCAGGUUAACACGAUUACAAAAGCGGGUCACACAAGAGCGGUCAGCAACCAGCUGGAGAUGUUAAUACUGGCUCCGACUUAUCUCCACCUCUCUGUAUAUUUAAAUAUAUCAACUUAGCACCAUAGCAAAUUCAAGUGAUUUCAAAGAUAGCUACAAAGUUACAAAUAUAUAAUAUGAGAUUAUUACAGCGAUAUUAAGUUUAAUCUGAACUGUGAAUUAAUUUUAUUUGAAUUUGGAUGCUCAUACUGUUUAAUCCUUCCUUACUUUCACCACACAGGAAAAUACCUAAAUUCUAAUGUUACACUUAAAACUGCAUUGUGAUAACGUGGUUUUACAGAAUGCUUCAGCAGUAAGGUAUCUUUUGAGGUAGACAGGUAAUAUUUACUCACACACAUCUACUCAUUAAACUGUGUAGAAUAACUCUAAAUGUGAUUUGGAUGAAUAGCAAGCUUAGGUAAUUGAAAAAUUCAAACACCACUGGCAGUUAAUGGGCUUAAAUAAAAAGGCGAGUCAGGGGAGCUCUUGGCCUCGUUAUGUUUUGAACUGUGGAAAAGUAAAUACCAUGGUUGACUCAUAAUAUUAAUGGAAACCUCUUUUGGUAUGCUUUUAAAUUAAAUUUUUAUAUAUCUUCGCAGUCUUCAGGAAGCUAAAGGCAACAUAAAUAUCAUUCACCAUGAAAAGAUAUUUUUUCAAUAACUUAGGAAGUAUUCAAUAAACAUACAAGUAUUUUUGAGGCUUAUCGUGAAACUUAAUUUAUAAACUAAACUGAAAUGACCAAGAUUUUCAAGACCUGGGAAGCGAGCAAAGGUCCUGCGUGUCAGGACAGAAUGUGCCGUACUGCACCGCCCUCCAGCCGCGAGCCGAAGCUACAGCAGCGCGGCCGAGCUGCGCGAGACGUUGGAGCGCUUCAUCACCUGCGACGUGGUGCUGGUAGUGUCUGGCUGAGUGGGAAUUCUCUCAUACAAAAGUUAUAAAUAUUCUCUAUUCAGAAGUCUGGUCCACACGACACCCGGAGGCAACAUUCCACAGCGCGGUCGUGGUCCUGCCCCCGCGCUCACUGGCCCCGGUUGUGAGGCUGCCUCCUGCCGUGCUGCCGGCGCUCACAGCAAGUCCAUCUUGGGUCUGUAGUGCAGCAGGAGCGGCGCCUUCUGUAAGACAAGCCGGCAGAGUCGCUCUUAGCGGGGGCACGAGAAGACACAGGCCACGACGCCACCCAAACAUGCUAGGGACACACUCGCCUCG
rnacentral:lncRNA from 1 species